GACGAACGCUGGCGGCGUGCUUAACACAUGCAAGUCGAACGGAAAGGCCCUGCUCUUGCUGGGUGCUCGAGUGGCGAACGGGUGAGUAACACGUGAGUAACCCGCCCUUGACUUUGUGGUAACUCCAGGAAACUGGGGCUAAUACCGGAUAUGAUCUCCUGCUGCAUGGUGGGCGUUGGUAAGUUUCGGCGGUUGGGGAUGGACUCGCGGCUUAUGAGCUUGUUGGUGGGGUAGUGGCUUACCAAGGCUUUGACGGGUAGCCGGCCUGAGAGGGUGACCGGCCACAUUGGGACUGAGAUACGGACCAGACUCCUACGGGAGGCAGCGGUGGGGAAUAUUACACAAUGGGCGGAAGCCUGAUGCAGCAACGCCGCGUGCGGGAUGACGGCCUUCGGGUUGUAAACCGCUUUCGCCUGUGACGAAGCGAGAGUGACGGUAAUGGGUAAAGAAGCACCGGCUAACUACGUG
rnacentral:rRNA from 1 species